AAAUUGAAGAGUUUGAUCAUGGCUCAGAUUGAACGCUGGCGGCAGGCCUAACACAUGCAAGUCGAACGGUAACAGGAAGCAGCUUGCUGCUUCGCUGACGAGUGGCGGACGGGUGAGUAAUGUCUGGGAAACUGCCUGAUGGAGGGGGAUAACUACUGGAAACGGUGGCUAAUACCGCAUAACGUCGCAAGACCAAAGAGGGGGACCUUCGGGCCUCUUGCCAUCAGAUGUGCCCAGAUGGGAUUAGCUUGUUGGUGAGGUAACGGCUCACCAAGGCGACGAUCCCUAGCUGGUCUGAGAGGAUGACCAGCCACACUGGAACUGAGACACGGUCCAGACUCCUACGGGAGGCAGCAGUGGGGAAUAUUGCACAAUGGGCGCAAGCCUGAUGCAGCCAUGCCGCGUGUAUGAAGAAGGCCUUCGGGUUGUAAAGUACUUUCAGCGGGGAGGAAGGUGUUGUGGUUAAUAACCGCAGCAAUUGACGUUACCCGCAGAAGAAGCACCGGCUAACUCCGUGCCAGCAGCCGCGGUAAUACGGAGGGUGCAAGCGUUAAUCGGAAUUACUGGGCGUAAAGCGCACGCAGGCGGUCUGUCAAGUCGGAUGUGAAAUCCCCGGGCUCAACCUGGGAACUGCAUUCGAAACUGGCAGGCUUGAGUCUUGUAGAGGGGGGUAGAAUUCCAGGUGUAGCGGUGAAAUGCGUAGAGAUCUGGAGGAAUACCGGUGGCGAAGGCGGCCCCCUGGACAAAGACUGACGCUCAGGUGCGAAAGCGUGGGGAGCAAACAGGAUUAGAUACCCUGGUAGUCCACGCCGUAAACGAUGUCUACUUGAGGUUGUGCCCUUGAGGCGUGGCUUCCGGAGCUAACGCGUUAAGUAGACCGCCCGGGAGUACGGCCGCAAGGUUAAAACUCAAAUGAAUUGACGGGGCCCGCACAAGCGGUGGAGCAUGUGGUUUAAUUCGAUGCAACGCGAAGAACCUUACGGUCUUGACAUCCACAGAAGAAUCCAGAGAUGGAUUGGUGCCUUCGGGAACUGUGAGACAGGUGCUGCAUGGCUGUCGUCAGCUCGUGUUGUGAAAUGUUGGGUUAAGUCCCGCAACGAGCGCAACCCUUAUCCUUUGUUGCCAGCGAUUAGGUCGGGAACUCAAAGGAGACUGCCAGUGAUAAACUGGAGGAAGGUGGGGAUGACGUCAAGUCAUCAUGGCCCUUACGACCGGGCUACACGUGCUACAAUGGCGCAUACAAAGAGAAGCGACCUCGCGAGAGCAAGCGGACCUCAUAAAGUGCGUCGUAGUCCGGAUUGAGUCUGCAACUCGACUCCAUGAAGUCGGAAUCGCUAGUAAUCGUGGAUCAGAAUGCCACGGUGAAUACGUUCCCGGCCUUGUACACACCGCCCGUCACACCAUGGGAGUGGGUUGCAAAGAAGUAGGUAGCUUAACCUUCGGGAGGGCGCUUACCACUUUGUGAUUCAUGACUGGGGUGAAGUCGUAACAAGGUAACCGUAGGGGAACCUGCGGUUGGAUCACCUCCUUACCUUAAAGAA
rnacentral:rRNA from 1 species